rnacentral:rRNA from 1 species
UACGGAGGGUGCAAGCGUUAUCCGGAUUUACUGGGGUUAAAGGGUUUGUAGGCGGCCUUUUAAGUCAGCGGUGAAAUCUCCGGGCUCAACCCGGAAACUGCCAUUGAUACUAUUUGUCUUGAAUGUUGUUGAGGUGAGCGGAACGGGUCAUGUAGCGGUGAAAUGCAUAGAUAUGACCCGGAACACCGAUUGCGAAGGCAGCCCACUAAGCAACGAUUGACGCUGAGGCACGAAAGCGUGGGGAUCAAACAGG